GCCCGGCUGGCUCAGUCAGUAGAGCAUAGGACUCUUGAUCUUACGGGUUGUGAGUUCAAGCCCCACGUUGGGCA
rnacentral:tRNA from 1 species